GAUGAACGCUAGCUACAGGCUUAACACAUGCAAGUCGAGGGGAAACGAUAGAGAAAGCUUGCUUUUUCUAGGCGUCGACCGGCGCACGGGUGAGUAACGCGUAUCCAACCUGCCCAUCACUUGGGGAUAACCUUGCGAAAGUAAGACUAAUACCCAAUGACGUCUCUAGAAGACAUCUGAAGGAGAUUAAAGAUUUAUCGGUGAUGGAUGGGGAUGCGUCUGAUUAGCUUGUUGCGGGGUAACGGCCCACCAAGGCGACGAUCAGUAGGGGUUCUGAGNGGAAGGUCCCCCACAUUGGAACUGAGACACGGUCCAAACUCCUACGGGAGGCAGCAGUGAGGAAUAUUGGUCAAUGGACGAGAGUCUGAACCAGCCAAGUAGCGUGCAGGAAGACGGCCCCUAUGGGUUGUAAACUGCUUUUAUAAGGGAAUAAAGUGAGUCUCGUGAGACUUUUUGCAUGUACCUUAUGAAUAAGGACCGGCUAAUUCCGUGCCAGCAG
rnacentral:rRNA from 1 species